rnacentral:rRNA from 1 species
UACGAAGGGUGCAAGCGUUGCUCGGAUUUACUGGGCGUAAAGGGCGUGUAGGCGGCUUUGUUAGUGUAUGGGUAAAUACCGAGGCUUAACUUCGGAACUCCUGUGCAAACGGCAAGGCUAGAGUAUGUCAGAGGUUGAUAGAAUUCCUGGUGUAGAGGUGAAAUUCGUAGAGCUCAGGAGGAAUACCAGAGGCGAAGGCGAUUAACUGGGGCAUUACUGACGCUGAGGCGAGAAAGCGUGGGGAUCAAACAGG